AACGUAGGAGACGAACGUUAUCCGGAGUUACUGGGCGUAAAGGGCGUGUAGGCGGUUUGUUAAGUCUGGCGUGAAGGCUCUCGGCUAAACCGGGAGAGGUCGUUGGAUACUGGCGAACUAGAGGAUGGUAGAGGCGUGUGGAAUUCCGGGUGUAGUGGUGAAAUGCGUAGAGAUCCGGAGGAACACCAGUGGCGAAGGCGACACGCUGGGCCAUACCUGACGCUAAAGCGCGACAGCAUGGGGAGCAAACGGG
rnacentral:rRNA from 1 species